UACGGAGGGGACUAGCGUUGUUCGGAAUUACUGGGCGUAAAGCGCACGUAGGCGGAUUUGUAAGUCAGGGGUGAAAUCCCGGGGCUCAACCUCGGAACUGCCUUUGAUACUGCAAAUCUCGAGUCCGGAAGAGGUGAGUGGAAUUCCUAGUGUAGAGGUGAAAUUCGUAGAUAUUAGGAAGAACACCAGUGGCGAAGGCGGCUCACUGGUCCGGUACUGACGCUGAGGAACGAAAGCGUGGGGAGCAAACAGG
rnacentral:rRNA from 1 species